rnacentral:rRNA from 1 species
ACGGUACCCCAGGAAUAAGCCUCGGCUAACUCCGUGCCAGCAGCCGCGGUAAUACGGAGGGGGCAAGCUUUUUCCGGAUUUAUUGGGCUUAAAGGGCGCGUAGGCGGUUUUUUAAGCUCAGUGGUGAAAUCCCCCGGCUCAACUGUGGAAUUGCGUUUGAUACUGUUUGUCUUGAGUGCGGGAGAGGAAGGUGGAAUUCCUGGUGUAGCGGUGAAAUGCGUAGAUAUCGGGAUGGAACACCAGUGGCGAAGGCACUUUCUGGACCGUAACUGACGCUGAGCGCAAUGC